AGCAGCCGCGGUAAUUCCAGCUCCAAUAGCGUAUAUUAAAGUUGUUGCAGUUAAAAAGCUCGUAGUUGAAUUUCGGGAUUGGCGCAUCGGUCGUGCCUCACGGGGUAUGAACUGGUGCAGUCAAUUUCUCACCUUCUGGAGAACCGCGAUGUCCUUAAUUGGAUGCCGCGGGGAACCAGGACCUUUACUUUGAAAAAAUUAGAGUGUUUAAAGCAGGCAUUUUUGCUUGAAUACAUUAGCAUGGAAUAAUAAAAUAGGACGGCAUGGUUCUAUUUUGUUGGUUUCUAGGACCACCGUAAUGAUUAAUAGGGAUAGUUGGGGGCAUUAGUAUUCAAUUGUCAGAGGUGAAAUUCUUGGAUUUAUUGAAGACUAACUACUGCGAAAGCAUUUGCCAAGGAUGUUUUCAUUAAUCAAGAACGAAAGUUAGGGGAUCGAAGACGAUCAGAUACCGUCGUAGUCUUAACCAUAAACUAUGCCGACUAGGAAUCAGACGAUGUUAAUUUUUUUCAAUGACUC
rnacentral:misc_RNA from 1 species